UGCGUCGUGGCAGAACGGUGAUGCAGCGGUCUUUUAAACCGAGAGGCGUAGGUUCGACCCCUACCGGCGCAACCA
rnacentral:tRNA from 1 species